AUUGAACGCUGGCGGCUGGCCUAACACAUGCAAGUUGAACGAAUGGCGGACGGGUGUGUAAUGUCUGGGAAACUGCCUGAUGGAGGGGGAUAACUACUGGAAACGGUAGCUAAUACCGCAUACCCUCAGAUGUGCCCCUAUGGGAUUAGCGAGGUGGUGGGGUAACGGCUACCCAAGGAGACGAUCCCUAGCUGGUCUAAGAGGAUGACCAGCCAAAAUGGAACGGAGACACGGUCCAGACUCCUACGGGAGGCGGCAGUGGGGAAUAUUGGACACUGGGCGCAAGCCUGAUGAAGCCAGGCCGCGUGGAUGAAGAAGUCCUUCGGGUUUUAAAGUACUUUCAGCGGGGAAGCGGUACCCGCAGAAGAAGCACCGGCUAACUCCGUGCCAGCAGCCGCGGUAAUUC
rnacentral:rRNA from 1 species